rnacentral:rRNA from 1 species
CAGUAGCCGCGGUAAUACGGAGGGCGCGAGCGUUACCCGGAUUUACUGGGCGUAAAGCGUGCGUAGGCGGUUUGUUAAGUCUGCUGUGAAAUCCCCGGGCUCAACCUGGGAAUGGCAGUGGAUACUGGCAAGCUAGAGUGUGUCAGAGGAUGGUGGAAUUCCCGGUGUAGCGGUGAAAUGCGUAGAGAUCGGGAGGAACAUCAGUGGCGAAGGCGGCCAUCUGGGACAACACUGACGCUGAGGCACGAAAGCGUGGGGAGCAAACAGGAUUAGAUACCCCCGUAGUCCCUGUCUCUUAUAC